GGUUAUUGGGUCUUCAAGGCAAGUGGAAAGAGCACUGGACUUGGAGGCAGGAAGACC
rnacentral:miRNA from 1 species